rnacentral:tRNA from 1 species
GUUUUAGUAGCUCAGUUGGCAGAGCACAGGGCUGAAAACCUUGGGGUCGUUGGUUCGAGUCCAGCUUAAAACA